CGUGUGAGUCAUUCCCCAAGGAAACGCACAGAUCUGGGGCUCUCAGCUGGAGGAGGAGGCAGAGGAAGAGGAGAGGAAGGAAGAGGAGGAGGAGGAAGAGGAGAGAAGGAAGAGGAGGAGGAGGGAGACGAGGAAUGGAAAAGGAGGAGGAGCAGGGAGCCACUUCAGCUCAGAGUCGCAGCCUCCCAGCCGGCUGCUUCAAGGUUGAGGAGACACCCCCAGAUGAGAUAACUUCCGCCUUGUUGAAAGCCUCUAGAAGCUCACUUCUCUUCCGCAAGGUGCUCCAUGCGUCCGAUGAAACGUUUUGGCCUUCUCAGCGUCCUUGUGAUGUCGACUCGAGGGCCCCGUGGCUUUUCCAAGGUCAAGCCUGAGUGGAAGGCGGGCCGCACGGACCCCGGUCUGGCAGGCCUGCGUUGGCACCUGCCGCCUCGCCCGUAAAUCCCCGCAGACGCCCCGCCAGGAUCACUGCGCUGGGCGCCGCGGCCACGCGCCUUUCGCAGCCUGGGUAAUUGGGCACGAGAAACACAAAUACU